GCGUUGAAAAGCUCGGGGAUGACUUGUGGGUAGCGGUGAAAUUCCAAUCGAGCCCGGAGAUAGCUGGUUCUCCCCGAAAUAGCUUUAGGGCUAGCCUCAAGGUGAGAGAUACGGAGGUAGAGCACUGAAUGUCCUAGGGGGUAUUGCACCUACCGAAGACUAUCAAACUCCGAAUGCCGUCAUCUUAUACUUGGGAGUCAGACUGUGGGUGAUAAGAUUCAUAGUCGAAAGGGCAACAGCCCAGAUCGUCAGCUAAGGUCCCUAAAUGUAAGUUAAGUGGUAAAGGAUGUGGGAUUGCACAGACAACCAGGAUGUUGGCUUAGAAGCAGCCACUCAUUCAAAGAGUGCGUAAUAGCUCACUGGUCGAGUGAUCCUGCGCCGAAGAUUUCCGGGGCUAAAACUUACUACCGAAGCUACGGCAUCAGUAAUGAUGGGUAGGGGAGCUUCCCAUACGGGUUGAAGCAUGACCGUAAGGACAUGUGGACAGUAUGGGAGUGAGAAUGUUGGCAUGAGUAGCGAGAUGUGGGUGGGAAUCCCACAGGCCGUAAACCCAAGGUUUCCAGGGGAAGGUUCGUCCGCCCUGGGUUAGUCGGGACCUAAGCUGAGGCCGAAAGGCGUAGGUGAUGGACAACAGGUUGAUAUUCCUGUACUACCGAUAACCGUUUGAGAGAAGGGAUGACACAGUAGGAUAAGCUAAGCACACUGUUGGUUAUGUGUGCCCAAGCAUUGAGGCAGUCAAAGUAGGCAAAUCCGCUUUGAUAAUGCUGGGAUGUGAUGGGGAGCGAAAUUUAGUAGCGAAGUAGCUGAUUUCACACUGUCAAGAAAAGUCUCUAUCGAGGUUAAAGGUACCCGUACCGCAAACCGACACAGGUGGGUGAGGAGAGUAUCCUAAGGCCAGCGAGAGAACUGUUGUUAAGGAACUCGGCAAAAUGACCCCGUAACUUAGGGGUAAGGGGUGCCACCAUCAGGUGGCCGCAGAGAAUAGGCCCAAGCGACUGUUUACCAAAAACAUAGGUUUCUGCUAAGUCGCAAGACGAUGUAUAGGAGCUGACGCCUGCCCGGUGCUGGAAGGUUAAGGGGAUCUGUUAGAGCAAUCGAAGCAGUGAACUUAAGCCCCAGUAAACGGCGGCCGUAACUAUAACGGUCCUAAGGUAGCGAAAUUCCUUGUCGGGUAAGUUCCGACCCGCACGAAAGGCGUAACGAUUUGGGCACUGUCUCAACAACAGACUCGGUGAAAUUGUAAUUCCGGUGAAGAUGCCGGAUACCUG
rnacentral:rRNA from 1 species